AAGAGGAGAGGGAAGGAGAAGGAGCCUGUGUUUUCCUCAGCUAGCACCGGCGGGGCGACCGGUCUGCACAGCCCACAUUUGAGAAAGAACCAAACGAGGAAAGUCAAGUAGGCACUACGAUUAUCUACAUUUUACAAGGCAGAAGCCAGGACACAAAGUGCUUAAGCAGAUCGCCCAGAGUUGCCUGGCCAGUAAGCAGCAGAGCCAGAACUUGAACCCGGAGUGACUUCAAAAGCCCCAGCUGUAUGUUGGCCCAGGUCAGAUGGAUGUCUGUGAAUCCAGGGCGCCAGAGGCACCAUGUGGCAGAGAGAAGGGAGUGUGACGGGAUGUCCGGGAUUGGAGGGGUGCAUCUACAAGCCCAGGAUCGCCAACAGCCACAACAAGCCACGGAGGCCAAGAAGGAGUCUCCCCAAGAGCUCUCCAAGGCAGCAUGGACUGGCUGAUGCCCCGAUCUUGAACUUCUAGCCUCCAGAACUGAGGGAGAAUACACGUCUGUUGUUUUAAGACGCUCAGUUCGUGGGACUUUGUUAAAGUCACCCUCGGGAACUGACGCUUAUGCCCUCAUCCCCUGUCCCCAUCACCCGGGCCCUGGAUGGCUGCCACCGCCUCCUCCUCCACCUCCCCACCGGCACUCACGGCUCCUCUGAUCCGUUUCCCACUCAGCAGUGAAAGUGAUCUUUGCAAGAUGCAUGUGGCGCGUGCACCCCACUCGUGCUCUUCAAACAGCAUCCGGGAUUCUUACCGUGCCCCCGGCUCUAGGUGGUCUGGCUUCUGCAGCCCCACCGGCCAGCCCUGCCUGCUGUCCUGUCUCACCUCUCCUAGCUCCGCGGCUUUCCUCCCAGUCCCAGGCUCCCUCCCGCCCUGCAGCCUCUGCGCCUGGAUUUCUGUCCCUUGCCUGAUUCCUCCUUCUGCUCCCGGCUCCCAUCCUACCUGACCUGGUCAUUGCCUCCUACUGCACACUCUCCCAUGUACGCCCCC